UGUACGAAUACAGGUGAUAAUUCCUUUAGUACAGCUAUUCUUUUAGAUCAAAAGUCUUCGAAGCAUAAAAGUGUAUUAUUUGUUCGCACACCAGCGUACCAUUCUUCAAACAAUACAAAGCCAAGAAACGUGGGUCUCCUUUAUUCGAGUUACUCAAAACUUGGUCACCGUGAUGAGUGGCAGAUUUUGAAAUACUUUAUUCGUAAAAAGUACGAAAUAUACAAAAUCUAGUAAAAUGUACCGUACAUAUACGCUGCCUAAAAACAUCGUAUUGGGGAAAACGAUGGCUGUCACGAGAGCGCCUCGAAGGCGAUCAAGUUAUUUCAUUGUGCUUCGGAGGUUGGCUGAAUUUCUUAUCGUGGCAGAGAUAAUAGUUACGUGGCAAAGGGUAUUGAGCCUGAGGUAGCUAUAAUUUUCCUGUUGGAAAGCAAGGAGGCGGG
rnacentral:lncRNA from 1 species